rnacentral:misc_RNA from 1 species
AACGCAUAUUGCGCCCGAGGGUUCGCCCGAGGGCAUGUCUGGCUCAGCGUCGAUGUAUCCCUCAUCAAUUCUUUUGAUUGUAUUUACUUAUGAUCAAUCGAAUGGAUGGACCUGACCUUCCCGGCUUCUUUUUUUAAUUGAAGCCGAGUGGGUUGAAGUAUAGAGGCGAAUCAAGGACCUUUAAAAGGGCCGCAUCUAGGUAGGUUGCAUCACUGCUUCUUAUUAUUUAGGUGUUGGCCUGGUUGUUGAUUAUUGAGCCCUCAAUCAAAGGAACUUAUUCAGUUAAGUUAAUUUUUACAUCUUCGACCUGAGCUCAGUCAAGAACACCCGCUGAACUUAA